AAUAAUAUAAGACCACCGUUAGCGGUGGAUCACUCGGUUCGUGUAUCGAUGAAGAACGCGCCAACGAUGAAGAACGCGGCCAACUGCGAUAAUUGGUGCGAUUCGCAGCGCCUAGUGAGUCAUUGAAAUUUUGAAUGCAAAUGGCAUGCUGGAUCUAAACCAGCAUAUGUCUGGUUGAGUGUC
rnacentral:rRNA from 1 species